UACGCAGGGUGCAAGCGUUACUCGGAAUUACUGGGCGUAAAGCGUGCGUAGGUGGUGAGUUAAGUCUGAUGUGAAAUCCCCGGGCUCAACCUGGGAAUGGCAUUGGAUACUGGCUCGCUAGAGUGCGGUAGAGGGUGGUGGAAUUCCCGGUGUAGCAGUGAAAUGCGUAGAGAUCGGGAGGAACAUCUGUGGCGAAGGCGGCCACCUGGACCAACACUGACACUGAGGCACGAAAGCGUGGGGAGCAAACAGG
rnacentral:rRNA from 1 species